GGCUUGGUCCCCUCUAAGAAGGGCCAUGUACUGCCUGGGACUGAAGGGGCAACUUCCUCACAUGCCCACUGGCUUCUCAGUCUGGAUUAAGAAAGGCGUUUCUGGGAGCUGCAGCAAACUGCUGCAUGACAACUUGGUCCUUGGCCUCCAUGGGCUACAGUGUGCAGAAGAACAAGAACCACAUCCACUUGGGAGGAAUGGACUAGUCUGUAUUACAUUUGCAAGGGGAAGAAAAAGAAGCUCUCCUUCAAGCUGGAGUCAGAAGGGCGACGUCAGGAUGUCUUCCUGAGUGCUGGCUCCAGUCAUUUGCUCUACCAGCUGACCUAUCGAAGGGCUGCCACCUCUCUCUCCAGGUUCGCCCAUUGGUGUGUUCAGAAUGGAGAGGGGUAACUAGUGGUGUUCCCCAAU